rnacentral:misc_RNA from 1 species
UAAUAAGUGUUUUAUGGCACUUUUUUAAAUCCAUAUCCACCUUGUGUGCAAUGUCAGUCGAUCUUCUUCAUGGAGAUCGACCAAACAUCAACCUUAUCUUUUAACUCUUUGUCUGAAAAAUAUUAUGAAUAAACAAUUCAAAAUA